AGAGCAAGGACCUGCAGAUGGCAGCCAGCCUGGAGAGCCCUGGACGACUGGCUUAAGAAGAUGUAGUAUAUAUACACAAUGGAAUACUACUCAGCCAUGAAAAGAAUGAAAUACUGCCAUCUGCAGCAACACGGACGGACACAGAAAAUAUCACAGUGAAAACACUAGUAAGACUGCUGUGAACUCAGACGACACCUCCAAGUGCAGGCGGUACUGACUUCCACUGCGCCACCCUCCUAAGAAGACCUUCCCCUGGCAUCCAUCUUCUGAGGCUUCCUACUUCUCUGCUCUUGUCUUCAAAAGGGCAGGCAAUGCCAGCAGGUGGAGCUUUGGUGAUAUUUGGAAUCUGUUUGUUGCUGGGCACAAGAAGGAGAGGGGGAAAAAAAGUCACUCAUCUAUACUUUAAAAAAAAAAAAAAAAAAAGGAAGCCAGAUUACAUAAAGUGCCAUAAAUAAUCUCUCAGAAGAAAAGUUUGGUGGAAUCUGGAAUUUCCAACUCCUAUAUAAAAUCCUCUGAGAGCCUGCCUUUGAAAUGAAUCUUUGCCACUGCUUCAUACAACAGGCUGUAUCGCUGCUUACAAGUGGUCCAGCCACGUCUGUCCUCUCCUCCCCCACCAGCAUGUGGCCCUCUGACGGACAGGUGGACAGGGCUGGUCACCUAUUCAUCUCCGAAUCUCUGGUCUGCAGCUAGCUUGGGAUCUUGCUCAGAAAGUGUGACCUAUACCCAUAUGUGGACGUGAGUUACAACUCAGCAUUCUGACCGCUAAAAUAACAAGACGGCGUGAUUCAGCUAGGAUGGGGUCAGGGUUUGACCCAUCGCCCAGAAGGCGGAUGUCCACAGAAUCUCCUAUGCGGGUCCUGAGGGGACGCCAAGCUCCUCCCUCACUCCCUUUGGAAUUAACGGCAGCUCCUCAGCACAGCACACAAGACCCCCACGACCCAGCCCCUG